GUCCGGCUACUAUACUCUUAUGAGUACGAUCACCUUCGUACUCAUAAGUUAUUUUCGAUGAUAGAGCUUCCGAAUCGACGAUCCAUACCGCUAAACAUUAUCUAGAGCAUUUAAAACUUUUAGAAAUCAAAUUUUAUAAUUUUUUGAUAUCAUUUACCUUACGAUCAAAAGCUCACAAAAUUGACAAUUUUUAAGGGCUCGUAUGAGAUAUUUGCUAGUUUAAGGUUAAAAAAAAUCGGAACAGGUUGAAUUUUUGAUAGAAAAUUCUAUUCACUACCUAAAUAAAGAUCAAUAACUCAGAUUUUAAAUUGAACGAUCCGAUCAUCCAUUUUUAGGACGUAAUUCGAUUUUAACCGUUUAUUUUAUACCCGCUUGAUGGACUUUAUAAUGAUUUCAAAAAAUUACGAAAUUUAUUUUCUAGAAGUUUCAAAUACUCUAGAUCAUGUUUAAUUGUGUGGAUCGUGAAUUUGGAAGCCCCAACAACUAGAACAACUUAUGAGUACGAAGGGCUCUAUACUGAUAAAAGUAUAGUAGCCCUACUAUAUAUAUAUAUAUAUAUAUAUAUAUAUAUAUAUAUAGGGCGUGUUUGGUUCGAAGUCGGAGUCGGAAUCGGAAUCGGAAUCAAAAUAAGCUGGAAUCGGAAUCGGAAUGACUCGUUAUCUAAUUCUGUUUGGUUCAUCACCUGAAUCGGAAUCGGAAUAAAUCAUUCCUAUUGUCGGUGUUUGGUUCAGGUGGAUAUAAAAAGCGUAAUCAAAUUAAUAUACUAACAUUAUCUUUAUAAUAUAUUAAUUUAAAUUCAAAUUAAAUAUUAAAUAUUAAAAAUUUACAUCAAAAUUUUGAAAUAAAUUCGAAUUCAUAAGUU
rnacentral:lncRNA from 1 species